CUUAAGGCGCGCGUCUCUCUCGCCAUCCACCACUCAGAUCGUCCUCUUCCUUUCGGCUCUCCGGCGCAGGUGAGUGCAGAUGGUAUCGGAUUUCAAAAUAUCAAGAUGUCUCUGCUAAGUGUCACCUUGACUAUGACAGUUUCGGCCCUUGUGUUUCUUCAUCAGUAUGAGUGCCAGAUAUAUGUGACUACUCAAAACGAAGAUCCUAAUCACCCGGGGAAGUGCGUGUACAAGAACCAGCCUCAUGACGUGGGCUCCGAGUGGACAGAGCCUGGAUGCCAACGAGGAUCUUGUCACAAGAACCAAGAUGGGAAAUAUAAUCUCGCCGUAGCCGGAUGCGGCUUGAUAGGGCUGCCACCCGGUUGCACUGCAGUGUCCAACGACACGCUGCCGUACCCAGACUGCUGUCCUAAGCCCAAGUGCAAUUUCUAGCCUCCACAUCUAUUGGCAGAGGAUGGAUAUGUCUAUGAUUAUGAAGAAUUACAGUGAAAUUUCAUUAAUAAAAACCCUAAUCAUUCAAAA